rnacentral:lncRNA from 1 species
UUAUAUUAUAAAAGAGUAUGUGAAAUUUCAUUUUAAUUUCAUAAAUAUGAAAUUAUACCUUUCCACUGCUACUUAAAAAUAUCCUGAAGUCCUACACAUAAAUUGGUGUGUUUGAAUCUGAGUCUCUAGGCAUUCGCAGUGACUGUUCUCGUGGUCAUCUACCUACUUUGUCCUUUAUUUUUUCUUCAUUGCUUUGUAAGCUUACAAGAUUUCAACUUGGGCUGGCUAGAAAGGGAUCAAUAGCUUUCAGAUAAAUUAUUACCCAGGUAAGUUGAGAGUGAUGUGUUAUGGUGAGUUUUUCUUUCAAGUUUCCCUUUUUCUUCAUGGGAUAAUUCCCUUAUAUUCAAAUCCAAUUGCACUCCCUCUGUGCCAAUAUUCUCCACACCAAACAAUUAUCCUCAUAUAGCAAUCAUGGAGUGAGGGAGGGAAAGCCCAUGGGCUCACUGCUUUCUCCUGGAAAUGCUUUGCUGGGAAUCCUGACUUUCCAUGGCUAGGCUGUUCCUCAAGCUGCAGACAUGGAGAUUCUGUAAGACAUUCUGGUGUAUCUCCCUGUUUUCUAUACAGGCAGCUCAUGACUGUCCAUAGCCCUGCUCCAGGAAUCAGCUGACCUCCUCUGUCCUCCAUAGGCACUGCACACAGAUCCACAUAUCUCUACAGGGAUGUCAUGGGUACACAACUCAAAACAAAAUCAAUUUUUAAAAAGACUUAGUGCAUCAAUUUUACCAUUUUCCACUUACAAGUAUUUUCAUUUUUAUACUCAAUCCGUCAGCUUUUGGAAGAGAGAUUCGAGUUAUUUUGGUCCUCAGUGCUGUGAACUGCAUGGCUCCUAGGGUAAUUUUGUUGUUGUUGUUGGUCAGUUUGCUCCAUUUAUUCCUUUAUUCUGGCAAGUUUUGUCCCGCAGUUCUGUGGUUUUGUGUAUUGUCUCUCUGAAUUAAUACCCUUAAUAUUUUUUUUUCUGAACUUCUCAUUACUGAAUACAGAAACCUCUGGACCUAUUAUCUAAUUUUCUUGCCUUUUUCCCUCCCUUUGCACAUUCAGUUUACUUAGUCUUUUGCAACUCAUUUUGAGAAGUUUACUGAAUUAUACUUUUAAAUUUUUAUUUUUUAUUCAUUUAUUUGUGUGUGGACAUAAACCUACACUCUUGUGUGUUUAUAUACACCACUUGCAUGCAUGGGGGUCCAUAGGGGCCAGAUGAGGGGCAUCAGAUGCCCUGCAACUGAAGAUAUAGAUGGUAGUGUACAUGUGGAUGUGGGUGUGUGGAUGGACCCAGCUCCUCUAAAACAGAGGAAAGUGAUCCUCACCAUUCACCCAGCUCUCUAGCCCAUCCACUAAAUUUUAAAUUUCUAGAUUAUUUAUUUUAAAUAGUUAUUCUAUCUUCAAAACACUAAGGCUAUGUAAACAUUCUCCUCUGUUAUUUUUUUAUCAGCAUAAUUUCUGUUUGUUCCAUGGACCCUGUCAUUGUCCUUAGGAUAGUAUGUACAAAUUUGAGUGUGUGCAUGUGUGUGUGUGUGUGUGUGUGUGUGUGUGUGUGUGCACAUGCAUAUGUGCACACCUAUGUCUGUGUCUGUUUCUCAUUUUUGCAUGCACACAGGUGAUACACAUUUCACAAGUUGCACUUCACUGUUUAUCACAUAUCUUGGUCAACAAAACCCACAUAUUAAAAUUGACUGAAGAUCCCAAAGUGCUUUUCUUUGUGUAGGUUAUAUUUGUGGGUAUUGUAUUAGACACGAGAGCUGAUCAGCAGGCGCAUGCCACAUAAUGACAUUUCAGUUCGUGAGAGACUGUGUACACAGCCGUCCCUUCAGACUGUGUGAACUAGACACACCAGAGCCAACUCAGUCUGAGGGAGUACACUGCGAAAUUUUCACACCAGUAAAAUUGGCGAAGGAAGCGAUUUUCAGAACAUAUAUUCCUUGUUAAGUGACACAUAAUUAUAUUAAAACAUUUAUUAAUUUACAAAUAACAUUAAACCUGUCACAUGAUAGUAAAAAUACUAUUUUAAUGACCAGCUUAACCAAAGACAGCUGCAUUCGCAAAGAUAUUUCAGAUUCUAAUUUAUGUGUCUUCUUGUAUUUUGUUGCCUCUGAAGAACUCUAGCUUACACUCAUGAGAGUAGGGGGCAAAUAAGAGAAACAAAAGCUCUAUAGUAUCAGGAAAUUGGUUUUGACCUUGAACAAACAUGCAAAGGGCAACGAGCACAUACGUUCUCUCAUCUAUAUAGCUUAGAAAUUGCUGUUACAUGCACACACACACACACACACACACACACACACACCACCUUGUUUUUUCCUGUGUUGUCAUCUUUUUCUCCUCUUGAUUUUACUUUUUGCUUUACUAUUUGUUUUGUUUUGUUUCCUCUUGCUCUAAGUUGCAGUGUUUAGAAGCUCGCCUCAGAUAUCUGAUAACAGCUGCCUGACAGCCUCCAUUUAAGGACAAAAGACUGGCUGGGCUCUGCGUUUGGGAGAAGAAUUUUCAAUGAGUGAAUUUAUCUAAGGUAGUGGACCUUCAACAUCAUGAAUGAUGCUCAUCUGUGAAAAAGCAGAGUCUUUAUAAAUACGCCUUUACAGUACCAUCCUUUGGUAUCACCUAACCUUUCAACACGUACAAUUUACCAAUAAUAAUAAUGUCUUUACAGAAUUGAAGUGUAAACAGAAACGAAGCAGAGAGCACCUUGUAAUAAAGAGUAUGUGUUUUGCGGUGUCAAUCAUCCAGCGCUCGCACUUUGUGCUUAUGUCAUAUGUCAGGAGCUUGCACGCACAUGCUGACUAUCUGUGGAGGUGGCAGUUGUAAAUGCAGGUGGAGAGACACGUGCUGGCGAGCAACACUGACGUGUGUCAAGUAGCAUGGCUUCUUCCUUGAAAUCCAUUGUGUCUGUUUGAGGCAUAUGACACCGUGUUCCGAGAUAAAGUCCAUGCGGUAAAGUGGUUGGUACAGUGAAACAAAUUCCCACGCCUGUCAAUCACGGCUGCCCAUUAUUCUCUCCUGCUGGGAAAGGUCACGAUCUCCUUAGUGAACAAAAUCUCCGUUGCAGUGUGCUAUGAACUGCCGUCCUGGUGUAGUCCAUCAGGUCCCCAGGCUUAUGUAACCCGUGCGUCUGCUACGCCCUGUCCUCAGGUCUAUCUGCUCCCUUUCACUAACCUCCUCACUCUGCUGGUCCUUCCCAGAGUUUUAUUCUCUAGCUCUAUUAUUCUAUUUGAUCUUUUUUUUUUUUUUAGAGAAAUAUAUGUGAGAAGCUUCAAUGAUUUUUAUUCCAUCUCUCCUUUACUUCAUAUAGCCUAAUAUAACCAAUUUCUGUUAAGGGAAACAGUAGGCUUCUCAUCUCUUUUUAAAGAGUGAAUAAUAUUUCUUUAUCUGCCUUUGUCUCGGUCUCUGUCUGUCUGUCUCUCUCUGUCUCUGUCUCUCUACCUCCGUCUCAGUCUUUCUCUCCCUAUCUCUGACUUGAGCUCUCUCUCUCUCUCUCUCUCUCUCUCUCUCUCUCUCUCUCUCUCUCUCUCUCUCCCUGUGUGUGUGUGUGUGUGUGUGUGUGUGUGUGUGUGUGUUCACACCAGGUAUGGUUUCUCGCAUUCCACCGAAGAACAGGAUACCUCAAGCCCCUGUAUGGUAAACAGUGGUGUAAACAGUGGUCUAAAUACACACGUAAGGACAUCUUCUUCCCAAAGCAAGACACUUGUUUCCGUUAGUUACAAUAUCCGAAAGAGGAAUGAGAGACUGCUAAUGUGAUAUGACUUUAUACCUCGCUAGAACUCUUGGAUAAACCCUGGGUUAAGCAACAUAUCAUUCAGGUGCAAUUUACAGCUGCAUCUCUGAAAACAAAAUCAGGCCAAGUGAGGAUCAAGCUUCCGCUUAUAGCUCACCAUGUGCAUGGGUGUGUAAGGUGCACUUAGGUUCAUGAUUUGUGUGCUUCCCCGCUUUUCAUGUAUGACCAUCUGCUGCAAUAUCAAAACUCAUUGUGGAUGAAGGAAAUUCUUCCCUGUGAGAUGUAAGAUGUAUGUAAACAGUAUACUCACGUACGCACAUGUGUGUGAUCAGAGGCCCUUGCGUUAACCACUCCCCAACCACAACUGCUUCCUUAUUUCCAGUUUUCCUCUAGGUCAUGCACCCGGCUGUUUGGAGGUCCAGAAAGACCAGUUUGCCCAUCAUGAUCUGCACUUGCUAUUACACCAUGCUUGUUUGUAUUUCCCUGUGUGGCUUUUGUCCCUUGGGUUCCAUGUCCUUAGAGAAGGGGUCUGAUCAGUGGAAGAAAGGUGUGAGUUUGACCAAUGUCUUCAUUGCACCCACUAAGAGCCCAGUUGCUCCUUAUGGACUUUCUCAGCCAACUCUGUUCCCCCCUUUUCUGCUGCCUUUGGCUGAACUGCUAGCACCCAGUUUUCUUCAGGGCACCCCCACUGCCCCCCUCUGUGUCCCUGCUGUAAAAAGUGGGGCCAAAAGCUUCCUCUAGCCUCCUUAGUUAGCAUUCUGUUUUUUUUUUUCACUUCUCCAAAAUUGGUUGACUUCGCUCAUCUUUGUGUGUUCUUCUCUCUAGGUACCUCCUCGACCGCUUUAUGAUUUUUAUUACUACACAUCUUUGGAAAGUGGUGAACUCUAAGAAACAGUGUCCAAUCAACCACACUGAAUUGGAAGUCCCAAGUAAUAACUUAGUAAUUAGAAAAAUCAAUAUUGUUAAGGCGAGGCUGAGACAAAGCCUUUAUGAAGAGGAAAACCUCAGAGACUUAUAAACUAUUUCUCUUCACAGAACUAUAUCACACAUCUGUAAGCCUAGAUCAUAACUUCACUGCUCCACUGUACUCAUUUAAAUAGAACCAAGCCUCCACAUUACAGAUUAAAUUUUCUGAGAGGUGACAAAAGACAUCGGUCCUCUGUGGAAUGAAUGUUUUUUAAUUUCCUUAAAAACUGCUCAUUUUCUCAUUAAAAAAAAAAAAGCCCGAACCAAAUACAUUUGUUUAUUUACUUUGUGUGUAGGGUGAUGGGUUUUAUUUAAUUCUUUCCUUCUACCAUAUGAGUCCCCAAGAUUGAGACCAGGUGGCCAGAGUUAGAGGCAAGAGGACUUGGCUGAUGAGCCAGCUCACUGCUCACAGAAUCCUGUCACAUUGGUAUUAAUCUCUUAUGCUGACCCUUGCCUAUUCCCAUUUUUGAGUUUUUACUGUUUUGAUUUUUACUAAAGAAAACUUUAUUUUAGUAGUAAGAGAUUUUACAGUCCCCUCUUUCUCUUUCUUCCCUAAACAGAAAAUAAUUAAUCAGCUUUGAUGUCAGUUUCUGACUAUUUCAUAAGUCAAUAUGGUUGAAAAAGGGAAAUUUCCUUUACAUUCUCCCUUUUUAAUUUCUGAACGCACUUUUAUAUCUUUCAUAAAACUGUAAAUUUUGAAUGAUUUUUUUACCUUCAGAAGUUGUUACAUACUCAAAUAUGGGUAAAUCAUAUACACUUAAAUUAUUUUAAAAAAUAAUUUAUAAAUAGGUAAAAUAAAUAAAGAGGUAAGUGAACACUGUAUGGGAGGAAAAUGGAAAACGUACUGUGGCAAUUGCUAACUAUAUAAAGCAGGUCACAGUUCAUUUUACCGAGAGGAAAUCAGUUCUAAUUCUGAAUACUACAUCUCCUGCUAUUUGCUUUGACUCCUCAUUUUCUCCUAGUGUAAGGAGGGAAAGCUGCAAAUCUCUGAUGGCUGCAGCUCCCCUCUUCUCCAGGUCUAGCUUUUGCUAUACCAUUUCUCUAUUAAACCUGCUUCUGGAUGGAUGGAUGCAUGCAUGCAUGCAUGUUAUAAAUUAAAAAAAAUACAAGGCUUUGCAUCAAAUAGAUGUUAUUGAAUUCAGUAAUUUUCUUAAUUAUAAUACUGAUAUUUUUACACUUAUCAAUUGUAUUUCUGUAAUAGUCUCCUUAACAUAUGAUUCAACACAGCCCAGAUGAUAGCACUCUCCUCUCGGACACUGGAUGAAUAGCUGCUGAGUAUCAGAAGAUCUUAUCAAUAGCUCUCCUAUCCACAAGAAGUCUCUCCAGGGAAAUAGAAACUAUCGCAAUUACUCCAGCACAGGACACACAAUGUCUCACGCAGAGCGAUAGAAGAGCUGAGACGCUGGACAGCAAAAGGAACUAUCUCCUGAUGAGAAACUGAAGGGAGAUUGCCAGAGUGUAAGAGAGGCCGCAGGAUGAGGGCCUUUGGUUCCCUACUGAAGGCUCAGCGGGGACCCUGUGUGGUCCCUGCCUCAUCUGUGGAGGAAGAGAUACAAUCAAUAGUGAAGAUGACAUUUCAGACAACAGGAGGAGAAAACUCCAGCGCUCCUUUUAUCACUCACUUCUAUACUAUCAAGGAUUCCCACAGUCCGACUUCAAAAGAAAGGCAGCAGAAGUUGAAUUGUAGGAAAUGAAGCUUGAAGCUUUCUGAAGAUACAAGUUCCAGGAAGGAGAAGCUAGUAGUGAUCCUCCCGCCAGUGAGUCCGAUCUCAGCACCACCUCUUCCCGGUACUAGUCCACACCGAUCCUCUUCAUCUAUAUCUCCUCCAAGGUGUAUUCAUCAAUCAAAACCAGAGUUCUAAUGAGGAGAGACUGCAGGCACAGGGAGAUUUGUGAAGAACGUUCUCUCUAUUAUGUUUGUAAAGGCUUUUGCUACUGCCUGAGCAGAAGUGUAUAGUUCAGAGGUAUAUUUUGAGGGCCAUUUUCUCAUAACGUUGAGAACCUCACCUUACGUUCAGUUUGCCCUGUUUGCUUUGUACAACUGAAGAUAGGUAUGCGUAGUCUCCUGCCAUAGCUGCCUGCUGACGUAACUUCCCAGUCAUUAUGGACUCUCCUUGUAGAACCAUAAGCCAAAAGAGACUUCCAUCCCUCUCCCUUGGUCACUGUGUUCUUCACAGCAACAACAAGAAAACAUAGCUAACACAGUCUGGUACAAUUAGAUCUAUAUUAAAUGUCUGGGUUUUAGCUACCUCGUUGGUGGCAUGAAUAAAAAAUAAUAGUCCUGAUAAAAAACAGCUUUACAAAUGAAGAGUUUAGUUUGAAUCAAAGUUCAAAGAUAUGAUUUAGCAUGGUGGGGGAGUCAAGGCGACAGGAGCUUAAGGCAUCGGGUUCUUUAACAUCCUCAGUUGCAAGACAAGAGCCAUGACUAUUGGGGCUUAGCCCACGUCAUCCUUUUUGUGCAGUCUAGUUUCCCAACCCAGAGAAUAGUAGCGCACAUUUGAUGGGUGGGUCUUCCCAACUCAGUCUAAUUCAGCAAUCUCUUAUAUAUAUAUUUCCAGAAGGUAACUGAUCUAUCCCUCAAAAAUGUGCCUGGAGGCAUGUUUCCUAGGUGAUGCCACAUCCUGCCAAGCUGACAAUAUUAGCUGUCACAGGCUGUUUUACAAAUGAAGGCUAACUUUUAGAGAACCCAUUUUGACUUUUGCCACUCUCAAGUGGUGAAGUUAGGAUGAAAAUGUGUCUGUACGAAAACAAGAUUCUAUACUCUAAGAAAUCAGAAAAUGCAGUAACUAUGCUACACUGGGGAUUAUGGAAAGAAAUAAUGCCGGAAUAUAGCUUCAGAGAGGAGAAAAUAAGACGCCAAGGAUGAGAGAGUUUAUGAGUGGUCCUGAAGCAUUUGCUUGGUAGGUGUAGAGGGAUGAACUGAGAGAUGACGUCAUGAAGCACUGCAAACUAUUUCUUUUGAAACCAUGUAAUGGUCUAGGUGGGUAGGGAUUCCACCAAGAGAUUUUUGAGGUAGUAUGAUGACCUGAAUCAAAAAUGUUCUUUAUGAAAAUGGAUUAUAGCCAGGUGGAUUGGUGACAGCAUGUGUUAGGGCAUGAGGUGAUUUUUUUUUUUUACCAUGUGUCUUACUGGAGUAGCAUUAUGUUCCUUUGAUAAGAAAGUUUGUAAUUGUGUUUUGAAUUCAUCAGUCAGUAUAUUAGAGACAGCUGAAACCUCUUGAACAUUCUCCCAACAUCUCCAAUUGACUGUAUCGUUAGUGCUUUACCCAAACCUUGUCAACAUUAUUUUUAUCUUUGGUCUGAUCAAAACUUUCUUUAUAAUGUUCUAUUAAUUUUACUACUAUAUAAAAAUUAUUUUAAAAUUUCUCACUUAAGCUUUAAUCAAUAAAUUUUUGAAAAAUAUGUAAAAACUACAACCGUA